rnacentral:rRNA from 1 species
CAAAGCUCAAUAUAACCAACACUUAUUAUCUCACUAAAUAAUCAAACUUCAAUACUAGUAUCAAGCCAAUCUAUAAAAUAGAUGCGCUAAUGCUAAAAUGAGUAACAAGGAUCCGCCCUCUAAAUGCAAGUGUAAACCAGAACGAAACGCUCUCUGGUAAUUAACGAACCAACCUAAAAGAACUAUAGCACAAUAAAAAACCUAUAAAAUAAAUCGUUAACCCAACACAGGAGCAUGACAGAAAGAUUAAAAGUUUAAAAAGGAACUCGGCAAACUAAGCCCCGCCUGUUUACCAAAAACAUCGCCUCUUGAUCAACUAAUAUAAGAGGUACUGCCUGCCCAGUGACACACGUUUAACGGCCGCAGUACC